UUACCUGAGAUAUAAUAACCUUAUUCACUGAAGACUCAUGAUCUUUCACCUGUUCAAAUGUUAAUUUAUUUAUUUUACUGUAGGAUAUGAGAUUUUCUGCAAAGAAAAUUACAUCAUUUCAACAGUUAUUUCGCAUGUCAAGUAAAUUGUUUUCCGUAAUCGAUUAUAAAUUGUAAAAUCUAAUUUAAAGAUUUAUUGCUUAUUACGAAAAGCCCUACGUGAAAACCACUUUGCUGUCAGUAAUUUGGGAUUAAACUAUACUAAACAACAUCCAGGUGAAAAGCAUACAUAUGUGGAAGAAAAACCAAGAAGAUAAACAAACAAGGAGCUUAGACAAAGCUGUUGUGGUUUAUGCAAUUAUUCAGAACUAGGACAAAAAUCAGUUGAACACUAAAAGGAAAUGGAACGUCAAGAAAACAUAACGAGGAGCCGGUUUCUGUUUGCCUUAGUGGAUUUCGUAGGAGAGUGUUUUGAGCAUGUGUAGCUGACAAUGUUCUCAAAGUGCUUCCAUGCGGUCUCAAUGUGAAUGGAACUGAAAAUGAAGGACCAGUCGAUGAAGAACAGACCCUUUCUGAUUGCUCACCAAUCCGCUUUGUGGAAGUUUAUGUUGUAAAAUAAGUGCAGUGGACUGGGAUUGGCUGGUUUGGUUUUGAUAUGUCGGAAAUUAAAAUAGCAGAGUAUCAUGUCGUGGUCUGAACUCCAAGCCUCUGCUGCAGACACUGCUUUGUGACGUCUUUCCCCUUGCAACAUCGAGACACUUUCGCCGGUUCUCUUCGAAGGCAGCUGAUGCGGCAGCGGCUUCGCGUUCGUGUAGACUAAUGUCGCUCCAUUUGAGGCUCCUUUUCAGAGUGUCUUUGUAUUUCAGUUUAAACCUUCCUUGUUUGUGUGAGCCUUGCGUGUCUAGGAACACGGCUGUCAGUCAUUCUGAUUAUAUGGCAAGUCCAGCGUUACUAAGCCAUCAGUAACAUUGACUCAAUGCUCGUUGAACUAGCUUUGUUCAGCAUUUCUUAGUUUGUCAUUCACACACACACACACACACACACACACACACACCUAUGUAAAAUCAGGGUUAUCUGUUGUGUACAUAACUAAAGGGAUCACGUUAAUUAGUGAAAAGAAAUGCGGUAACAAUAUUUCUUAUAUUACAGUGCAUGUCAUUUACUGUACUGAUAAUGUGUCGUUUCAUUAUCUAACAGAUUUUAUGACCUUGAAGUGCAAAAUAAAACACAUUCACACCCCCACGUGCGCACACCCGCAUGAACGCACAUCCACACAAGCUCUCACACGCACGCUCACAUACUUAUUGUAAAAAUCAAUUUUGUGACUAGGCGAGAACUAUUCCAGCGACAAGAAACUUGGUAUAAACUGCAACCAAUACAUCUGGGUAAUUAGCUAAUAUGCUGUUCUACCUCCCUUAGAAUACACAGAGAUAAAGAAACGAACACGAACACACACAUACAUAAAUACAUACACAUAUACCUUCAUAUAUGUGUGUGUGUGUAUAUAUAUAUAUAUAUGUAUAUAUAUACAUACACACAUAUAUAUAUAAAUACAUAAAUAUCUGCGGUAAUCAAUCAAAAAAUUACAGCAGAUUUCGUGUAUAACUGUGUGGGUGUAUGAAUAAAGUUUUGUCUUCGCGUACGUGGGUGUCUGCGCUUUUUGCACAUAUGAAUAAAUAUAUGCAUUUGCGUAUACGUAUUUAUAUAUGCGCAUUUUGUGCAUUUGUGGGUGUAUAUUUAUGCAUGUGUAUAUGUAUGUUGUACAUCAAGAGUAAUUAUUUUCUUCUUUAUGGUUCAUUGAACUGUGUCGGGCAUAAAAUAAAUGUCUGAGUUAUUUAUUCCUACACGUUGUCAUCAGUGAUAUGUUGGUUGCUAAGAAAAAACAAAGAACAAAGGAGCGUUUGUAUUGGUAGUCACAUAUUGAUAGCCGUUUGAAAGGAAGAACACAAAGAAGCGAAUAAUUUAAAAAAUAUAUCAAGUUUAAAAGGGUAACAAAUGGAAGAAGAAAAUAUAUCGUGGCAUUGGGAGGUGCCAAUGCAGAUGCAAGCUGACACAGACGCCCUUUAAAAUAUCCUUUCUCUCAAUCAGUGAAACUUCUAGGACAUGACUGGUGAAGACAAAGAAGCCUGAUGCAUGCGACUGAUAGAUAUCUGAGCAGAAGAGACAUGAAGAACGUUUAAUAUGAUGUAGCAAACGAAACCACAAACUUUGGAAGCAGACGACCCAUUAAGCACCAAUUUCCAUCUACCAAAUGUAUUCACAAGGCUUCGGUUGGCCCGGGCUAUAGUACAUGACAUUUGCCUAAAGUGCACCGCAGCGAGACUGAACCUGGGACUAUGUGGUUGGAAAGCAAACUUCUUACCACACAAUUAAACUGAGAAGCAAUUUCGAUCAACUUUUUGAAAUAUCAUUAUUUAAAUCUCAAGGCUUCGGUCGGCCCGGGGUUAUAGCGUAUGACAUUUGCCUAAGAUGUACCGCAACGAGACUGAACCUGAGACCAUGUGGCUGGAAAAUAAAAACCCCUUACCAUACAGUUACACAGAGAAUCAAUCUACAACUCUCUUAAUAUAAAUUACUGUAUGUACCAUAUUGUACUAAUGUAAAUAAAUCAAUUUUGAUCAACGUUUUGAAAUAUUAUUGCUUAAA